rnacentral:rRNA from 1 species
UACAGAGGUCUCAAGCGUUGUUCGGAUUCAUUGGGCGUAAAGGGCGCGUAGGCGGCGGGGUAAGUCGGGUGUGAAAUCUCAGGGCUCAACCCUGAAACUGCACUCGAUACUGCUCUGCUUGAGGACUGGAGAGGAGACUGGAAUUCACGGUGUAGCAGUGAAAUGCGUAGAUAUCGUGAGGAAGACCAGUGGCGAAGGCGGGUCUCUGGACAGUUCCUGGACGCUGAGGCGCGAAGGCCAGGGGAGCAAACGGG